rnacentral:rRNA from 1 species
UACAGAGGGUGCAAGCGUUAAUCGGAAUUACUGGGCGUAAAGCGUGCGUAGACGGUUGCGUAAGUCAGAUGUGAAAGCCCCGGGCUCAACCUGGGAAUUGCAUUUGAGACUGCGUAGCUAGGGUGCGGAAGAGGGAAGCGGAAUUUCCGGUGUAGCGUUGAAAUGCGUAGAUAUCGGAAGGAACACCAGUGGCGAAAGCGGCUUCCUGGUCCAACACCGACGUUCAGGCACGAAAGCGUGGGGAGCAAACAGG